rnacentral:piRNA from 1 species
UUGAUUCCUUCCAUUAUUUUC